rfam:Gossypium raimondii Chr02_contig_1452, whole genome shotgun sequence.
AAUAGGAGAAUGACAAAUCAGAUUUUUUUUUCAGCCUUUUCCUCUCGAAAAAUUCAAAUCCAACUAAAAAUGCUAGAAAUUAGGAGGAAAAAUCAUAUUUGUCAUUCUCCUAUU